ensembl:lncRNA
AUCGGGGUUCAGCCUCCCUUCCUCCUGGAGAAGGUUCCCCACUCCACACCACGUCUGGCUCAGUAUCGAUGCUCAGGAAAUACUUCCUGAGGCGUGAACAGCUGCAUGAGGACUAUCCACAUCUGGCUGGUUUUCGGUCCCCAAAUUGCACAGCAGGGACGGAGGCACCGUCCCACCUCACGUCCCUGUGGCCUCCAGUCUGGAUCCCCGCGGCAGACCCCGCCCUGGUCUCCUCACCUCCCCUCUGGUCUUCCGGCCGCUUCCUCCAGCUCUGCUGAACUCUUGAGCCUUUCUGCGCUGGUUGGGCUUGCCAGCCUCUGGGCCUUUGCCCGUGCUGUGCCCUUGACCUGAGCCCUCGGCCCCCUUGUCCUUCACGCCUGGACUCCAGCGGCUCCAGCGGGCUGCCUGGACACCGCCCAGCCUCUUCCCGGAGCUCUGGUUCCUCCCCUGCUCGUGCUCUCCUGGCACCUCUGCGUAUUCUGUCCCCGGGACAGAGCCUGUCAACCUGGAUUACAGUCAUUUGUGUCCCCUCUGUCCGCCCUGUGGCCUCUCAGUAUCUUGGGCUGAAAGGCCCUUUAUUUCUCAUCUCGUGUCGCGGUGCCUCCAGCAGGGGAGGCGCCUGGAUGCCUGUGACACAAGCGAGGGGAUGAAUCGGACUGAGCGCGAGGAGCAGCGAGUGGUCCGCCCUACCUUAGGGGGCGGGCAGUGGUUUUCGCAUCUGCUGGCUCCCUUCCAGGACGCGGGGGCCCGAAGAACGAGGAGGCUGGAGGGACACUGACGAGCAGAGCCUGAGGGGGCUGUCCAGUGGCUUCCUGGUCUGCCCUUUGCAGGUCUGAGCCGAAGGACCCAAGAGAGGAGGAAGGAAGAAGCUUGUCCAGGUCACACAGUACGUGGGGGCGCCUCCCCCCGCAGCCCCAAGAUCUGGCUAGUGUCCCCGGUCCGUUUGCUCAACGAGGCUCUGGAGCCUGGGAGGCCAGAACUGGGGGUGUGGUGGGGAAAGGAGGCGGGAGAGGAGACCGCGCCCCCGGGGAGAAGAUGACAACCUCCACUUCCAGCACAGCCCUGUGUGCCAGGCCCUGGCCCGCUGCUCUGACCCACCACCCCGAAUGCCCAGCACAGCCCCGGGGGGCAGGUGCCGUUGACAGAUGAAGGAGCUGAGGUCCAGCAGCCCCAGGUCCCACAGCCGGUAGAGCUGCCAUUUGACCCCAAGCCCUCCCAGCCCAAAGGCUGUGAGCUUUCUACUACAUCAGGAUGCCUCUUUCAUGAAACGCAGCAGCAUCUGGGUCCGGUCUUGGCCUCAGCGGUGGCCAGUCCAAAAGGGCAGCAAACCUGAUGUUUUCUCAGGUACCCAGAGAACAUCUUGUAGUUUGUGUUUUUCAACGUGGACGGGAAACCUCUGGGUCCCCAGGCCCUUGAAGAAGUUCCUUUUCCCAGUGGAGCAGUUACGGCAAGAGGAAGGAGCACAGAGACCAGGCAGGGGGCUCAGAUGCAGAGGAUUCCAUCCACCUUGUGAUGGCGCUAACACAAGAGGCCAAAGGCCACAUUAAUAGAGGUGGAGUGUCGAGGAGGAGAGAGGUGAUUACUCUGUCAGGUGUUGCAGGGGUCAAACAACAGUCUGAGCAGAGUCCACUCCUGGGACCUCACAUGGAGAGAGAUGUGGCCUGGUGAGGGGGCUGGGAAGUUUUAGCCCAGAGAAGACACAGCAGGAAACGAGGACUGUCAUCAAUACCUCAAGAGCUCUCCAGUGGAUGAGCAAUUAGACAGACUCCUUCUGGUUCUAAGAGCUGGGCAAGGACCAGCAGCUGGAGGGCACAGGAAGACAGAUUUCACAACUCUCCUCUCAAGGCACCAGGGGGCCCUCGGGGAGUAAGGCCUCCGUCCCAGAAGUCAUUCAACUGAGAUGAUAAAAAGAUGGCUUGGCUCCAAACCAGACCCAAAUGAAUGGAGGGAAGGCAGCAGGAUGCAGUGUUUGCAAAAUACCAGGUAAAUUUCCUGGGUGUGCAGGCCACUGUGGGGGGCGUGGGGGUCAAGGAGGUUGUGACCCAAAUGCCCCAUGUCACAUAAUGUCACUGACUUAACAGCAGCC